UACGUAGGGUGCAAGCGUUGUCCGGAAUUAUUGGGCGUAAAGAGCUCGUAGGCGGUCUGUCGCGUCUGCUGUGAAAACUCAGGGCUUAACCCUGAGCUUGCAGUGGGUACGGGCAGACUAGAGUGCGGUAGGGGAGACUGGAAUUCCGGGUGUAGUGGUGAAAUGCGUAGAGAUCCGGAGGAACACCAGUGGCGAAGGCGACACGCUGGGCCGUACCUGACGCUAAAGCGCGACAGCAUGGGGAGCAAACGGGG
rnacentral:rRNA from 1 species